rnacentral:lncRNA from 1 species
UGCAAAGACUUGCUGGGACCUAGCUCACAAAAAGGAUAAACUGUGAAUAAGGUGGAUAACUGCUUACUAUAUAAAACACAAUCUGCUAGAAGACAUGCCAAUCCCUACACAGGCAAGCUGGAUGGUCAGGAAAAUUAUAGCCUCUAGAGCUGUUCUGCAGAAUUUUCAACACUGGAGGAGACGGUACUGUUCCAUUAGACAACUAUAUCAUUUGCAGUUAGGAGACCUGCCGAGAGUACCAUGGAAGAAUCUGAUCAUCAAGAAUUAUGCUAGACCAAAAGCUGUCUUCAACCUCUAGAGCUGUUCUGCAGAAUUUUCAACACUGGAGGAGACAAGACUGCUCCAUUAGACAACUAUAUCAUUUGCAGUUAGGAGACCUGCCGAGAGCACCAUGAAAGAAUCUGAUCAUCAAAAAUUAUGCUAGACCAAAAGCUGUCUUCAAUUUGUGGCUGGUUCUACAAGGCAGAUUAC